AGCGGUGGAUCGUUGAUUUAAACGGAAGCGGUAAUUCGCUUAAUGUAACGCACAACUACUAAUUGUAGUUUGAGUGAAAGGUUUGACGAGUUUUUAGCUGUAUCUAGUUUGUUGUUAUUAAAUUAAACUGUAGGUGAAAAUGCCUACAUUAGGUAGAGGGACGAGAAGACCCCGUGAAGUUUUUAAGCAUUACUACGGGCCACAAAUGCCAGAGUAGUUCAUGGUUUUGGCUGGGGCAGCAGAAAGGCAAGAUUAGACCUUUUGUUUUUGGAUAACAGAUAUGUUUUGAUCCAUGUGGCUUAUUGGCAUGAUUAAAAGAAGGAGUUACUCCGGGGAUAACAGCGUAAUAUGUCUUGACAGAUCUUAUAGAUAGACAGGUUUGCGACCUCGAUGUUGGCUCUGGGUAUCCGUAGCCUUGUAGCAGGGCUAAAAGGUUGGUUUGUUCGCCCAUUAAAACCCGACGUGAUCUGAGU
rnacentral:rRNA from 1 species